rnacentral:rRNA from 1 species
GACGAACGCUGGCGGCGUGCUUAACACAUGCAAGUCGAACGAAGAGCCAUGGAUCCUUGUUUCUAUCAAUCUUAGUGGCGCACGUGUUAGUUACGCGUAUUCAACCUGCCCUUCAGAGGGUGACCACAGUUGGGAACGACUGCUAAUACCGCAUACGUUCUAAUCUCGGCAUUGAGGAUAGCUGGCAGGUUUCCUCUACAUGUUGGCUAUCACUCUAGUUGGGGAUUGCGUCUGAUUAGCUAGUUGGAGGGGUAACGGCCAACCAAGGCGAUGAUCAGUAGCCGGUCUGAGAGGAGGAAAGGCCACAUUGGGAAUGAGACACGGCCCAGAAUCCUACGGGAGGCAGCAGUGGGGAAUCUUCCGCAAAGGACGAAAGUCUGACGGAGCAACGCCGCGUGAGCGAUGAAGGCCUUCGGGUUGUAAAGCACUGUUGAUGGGAACGAAAGGGAUUGUGGCGAAUAGUGGGAAGGAUGAAGGGAACCGGAAAAGAAGGACAGGGUAAAUUAGGG